GACGAACGCUGGCGGCGUGCUUAACACAUGCAAGUCGAACGAAGAGCGAUGGAAGCUUGCUUCUAUCACUCUUAGUGGCGCACGGGUGAGUAACGCGUAAUCAACCUGCCCUUCAGAGGGGGACAACAGUUGGAAACGACUGCUAAUACCGCAUACGAUCUGACCUCGGCAUCGAGGAUAGAUGAAAGGUGGCCUCUACAUGUAAGCUAUCACUGAAGGAGGGGAUUGCGUCUGAUUAGCUAGUUGGAGGGGUAACGGCCCACCAAGGCGAUGAUCAGUAGCCGGUCUGAGAGGAUGAACGGCCACAUUGGGACUGAGACACGGCCCAGACUCCUACGGGAGGCAGCAGUGGGGAAUCUUCCGCAAUGGACGAAAGUCUGACGGAGCAACGCCGCGUGAGUGAUGACGGCCUUCGGGUUGUAAAGCUCUGUUAAUCGGGACGAAAGGCCUUUUUGCGAAUAGUGAGAAGGAUUGACGGUACCGGAAUAGAAAGCCACGGCUAACUACGUG
rnacentral:rRNA from 1 species